AAUUUCAGCUCAACAAGACCAAAGGAAAUGCAGACAAAAGGGAGACACUCGAGUUUAGGAGAACUGCUGAACAUCAGGCUUCCAAUCAACUUUAAAGCAAAGUGCUGAAAAGCCACAAUACAUCCAAAACGGAUUCUCACUUUUAAAGAAUACCAGCUCAAGACAGUCACAACACAGCUUUCAACUUGAACAAAGUGAGUAGAACCACUUAUCUUGGAGCCAUAUUUUGA